CACACCACACUACUACCAUGAUGAGAACAUUCUCCAAGAACCGAAACAAUUUAGGAAGAGCCGGAAGAGGCAUGGCAAGACGGGAUUCAUUCAACUUCGCCUUUUCUCCUUUCGUUUCCUCACGUCCUUCCUCUAUCGUCGUCUUUUUUC
rnacentral:snoRNA from 1 species